rnacentral:sRNA from 1 species
GCGAGAGGCGGGCUGAGGCGGCCCGAGGCGGCCCAGCGGCGGCAGGUGAGGCGGAACCAACCCUCCUGGCCAUGGGAGGGGCCGUGGUGGACGAGGGCCCCACAGGCGUCAAGGCCCCUGACGGCGGCUGGGGCUGGGCCGUGCUCUUCGGCUGUUUCGUCAUCACUGGCUUCUCCUACGCCUUCCCCAAGGCCGUCAGUGUCUUCUUCAAGGAGCUCAUACAGGAGUUUGGGAUCGGCUACAGCGACACAGCCUGGAUCUCCUCCAUCCUGCUGGCCAUGCUCUACGGGACAGGUGAGGGUGGCCUCACACCGGGCCCCCUGUCCGGGGCUCUGCUGGCGGAUCCUGCUGGGCGCAUGUAGCUGGGCUCAGCAACAGGGCCUUCCGCCUGCUCCCCAGGGAACCCUGGAGGGAAGCCCUUGGGGCCAGGAUCCUGCUGGGCAGCAACAUGCUCUCCACGGGGCCAACCCAGGCAGGGCACGAAGUCCAUCCUGGCCCCUGUCCAAACGGGUCGGCUGUAUUUAUAGACCGUCUCAGAGGACAGGCUCCCGAGAGCCGUUCCUGAAAAGGUGGCUGUUCCUGAGCUGCAGGGACCCACGGGGCCCAACAGGCGGCGCUCACGUGUCAUUAUGGCCUGCGCUCGGGGAGCCUGCCCACGGGGUGCCCCGCGGGGGGAGGGGUGGCGUGGGAAGGGGAGGCCGGCUCCAGGCUGUGAGCUCAGUCGGCUGGCGGGGGCAGAGCUGGCUGCAGGCCCGGCCCCUCUCAGCUGCUGCCCUCUCCAGGUCCGCUCUGCAGUGUGUGCGUGAACCGCUUUGGCUGCCGGCCCGUCAUGCUUGUGGGGGGUCUCUUUGCGUCGCUGGGCAUGGUGGCUGCGUCCUUUUGCCGGAGCAUCAUCCAGGUCUACCUCACCACUGGGGUCAUCACGGGUGAGUGGGGCCGGCCGGUGGGC